rnacentral:lncRNA from 1 species
AAACAAACAAAAUGAAUUUGAGAGGUUAUAAGUGUUUGCAAGUGUCACCGUGGAGACCAGAGAAUGGAUUGUCACCAUGGAGACUUGCAUAAACACUGCCUGUAAUGAUUUCCAUGGGGAAUGAGAUAUAGAAGAGAUUUGGGAAGGAGGAUAUAUAAAUGGAGCUGGCAGAAAAUGUCACUACAAAGUGAAGCAAACCUGGCUGAGAGUCUCAAGAUGGCAGACAGGACAGUGAUGGGGUCCUCAACAGCUCCAGCAGCAGUGGGGAUAAAGAGGACAUACAACGUGAAGGCUGAUUGGAGGAGGUUUCCAACUCACUCAAGUCAAACAUCAGGAGAGGAAGCAGCCCCUGAGCUCCCUUCCUCCCCAGCCAGCCCACCCUUGCAUCAGAGCCAGAAGUCCCAUAGUGCUGCCGGAAUAUCUUUGCCAGCCCUUACCCUUAUCCCACGGUCAUGUAGUGGUGGAUUUAUUUGUCUUUCCCCCUAGACCGUGAGGUCCUUGGUACCUCCACAGUCUGACACAUUGCAGUCAUCCUGUUACUGAGUAAAGGAAUGAGGUACUUAAAAUAUGUACAAAUAAAAAUGUAGCACAAGUUGCCA